rnacentral:rRNA from 1 species
UGGGGAUUAGUGGCGAACGGGUGAGUAACACGUGGGCAAUCUGCCCUUCACUCUGGGACAAGCCCUGGAAACGGGGUCUAAUACCGGAUAACACUUCCACUCUCCUGAGUGGUGGUUAAAAGCUCCGGCGGUGAAGGAUGAGCCCGCGGCCUAUCAGCUUGUUGGUGAGGUAAUGGCUCACCAAGGCGACGACGGGUAGCCGGCCUGAGAGGGCGACCGGCCACACUGGGACUGAGACACGGCCCAGACUCCUACGGGAGGCAGCAGUGGGGAAUAUUGCACAAUGGGCGAAAGCCUGAUGCAGCGACGCCGCGUGAGGGAUGACGGCCUUCGGGUUGUAAACCUCUUUCAGCAGGGAAGAAGCGAAAGUGACGGUACCUGCAGAAGAAGCGCCGGCUAACUACGUGCCAGCAGCCGCGGUAAUACGUAGGGCGCAAGCGUUGUCCGGAAUUAUUGGGCGUAAAGAGCUCGUAGGCGGCUUGUCACGUCGGGUGUGAAAGCCCGGGGCUUAACCCCGGGUCUGCAUUCGAUACGGGCUAGCUAGAGUGUGGUAGGGGAGAUCGGAAUUCCUGGUGUAGCGGUGAAAUGCGCAGAUAUCAGGAGGAACACCGGUGGCGAAGGCGGAUCUCUGGGCCAUUACUGACGCUGAGGAGCGAAAGCGUGGGGAGCGAACAGGAUUAGAUACCCUGGUAGUCCACGCCGUAAACGGUGGGAACUAGGUGUUGGCGACAUUCCACGUCGUCGGUGCCGC